GACCGGUUUCUUGUCUCACCGACUCCACCGAGGGGAUGAGGGUUGACCGGAGGUCUCACUUGUCGAUUGUGUCAAGAACAACCAGUGGAGUGCUGCAAAUGGAGGCAAAAAAAAAAAAAAUUGGCCACUUGUGAGCUGUUGUGCGUGCUUAUCCUUCCUUCCUUGUCUUCUUAAUCAGCAGUGCGGUCUCAUUCCGGAGUUCUAAAGCAAAGAAGAAAUGGGGAAGGGGAAAUCUUGCUUCUUGGUGGCUGUCAUCCUCAUGCUGAUGUCUCUCCCUCAUGGUGUCACAUCAGAGUUAGCAGCAGGAUCUGAAGGGAGAAAAUUGCGGGUGUUUCUGCCUCCUAGUCCAAAGCCAAAUAUUGUGAGGAACUUUGUCCCUCCACAGACCCCUAUCGUUGCUGAGCCGCAAAGCCAACCUCCGCCGCCGCCUGCACAAACACCCUCAUCUUAGCCACGCUUCUGCAUGCUCGACGGCACCAGAAGUUAGUCCCAUCAUGGAAGGAAUUGCUUACUAAACCAUAUGUAAACUGCAUAAACCGUAACAAAAUAAUGUGUUUAGUUUCCUUGGAAA